GACAUCCCGAUCGUACGGUAUAGAAAUAUACUGGUCAGUUCGGCUGGAUCGGUGACAGGUGUUGCAUGGUCGUCGUCAGCUCGUGUCGUGAGAUGUCGGGUUAAGUCCUUUAACGAGCGCAACCCUCAUUGCAUGUUACUUUUUCAUGCGAGACUGCCCUGGGUUAACAGGGAGGAAGGUGGGGAUGACGUCAGAUCAGCAUGGCCCUUACGCCUUGGGCUACACACGUGUUACAAUGGUCAGUACAAUGGGUCGCAAUACCGUAAGGUGGAGCUAAUCCGUGAAAACUGAUCUCAGUUCGGAUAGAGGGCUGAAACUCGCCCUCUUGAAGUUGGAAUCGCUAGUAAUCGUGGAUCAGCAUGUCACGGUGAAUACGUUCCCGGGUCUU
rnacentral:rRNA from 1 species